GUCGUCAGCUCGUGUCGUGAGAUGUUGGUUAAGUCCGCAACGAGCGCAACCCUUGUCUUAAUUGCCAGCAUUCAGUUGGGCACUUUAAAGAGACUGCCGGUGUUAAGCCGGAGGAAGGUGGGGAUGACGUCAAGUCCUCAUGGCCUUUAUGCCCAGGGCUACACACGUGCUACAAUGGGUGGUACAAAGAGAUGCCAACUCGCGAGAGCGCGCCAAUCUCAGAAAGCCAUCCUCAGUUCGGAUUGGAGUCUGCAACUCGACUCCAUGAAGUUGGAAUCGCUAGUAAUCGCGGAUCAGCACGCCGCGGUGAAUACGUUCCCGGGCCUU
rnacentral:rRNA from 1 species